rnacentral:rRNA from 1 species
AUUGAACGCUGGCGGCAUGCCUUACACAUGCAAGUCGAACGGCAGCACGGGAGCAAUCCUGGUGGCGAGUGGCGAACGGGUGAGUAAUAUAUCGGAACGUGCCCAGUCGUGGGGAUAACGUAGCGAAAGCUACGCUAAUACCGCAUACGAUCUAUGGAUGAAAGCGGGGGAUCGCAAGACCUCGCGCGAUUGGAGCGGCCGAUAUCAGAUUAGGUAGUUGGUGAGGUAAAGGCUCACCAAGCCGACGAUCUGUAGCUGGUCUGAGAGGACGACCAGCCACACUGGGACUGAGACACGGCCCAGACUCCUACGGAGGCAGCAGUGGGAAUUUUGGACAAUGGGCGCAAGCCUGAUCCAGCAAUG